GGUCCCAUCGUCUAGCCUGGUCUAGGACACGAGAUUUUCAUUCUUGUAACACCAGUUCAAAUCUGGUUGGGACCG
rfam:Candidatus Nealsonbacteria bacterium RIFCSPHIGHO2_02_FTLL_43_13 rifcsphigho2_02_scaffold_33077, whole genome shotgun sequence.